rnacentral:pre_miRNA from 1 species
CUGGAUGUGUUCGUUAGUCAUAGUAACCUCAUCAAUUCAGGCUUAUGACUAGAGACACAUUCAGCU